rnacentral:pre_miRNA from 1 species
AAAAAGAUAAACCCUGGUUUCCGUGCCCAAUGUUUGACCGUCCGUCUUAUUUGAAAAAAUUAUGAAAAAAAUAAAAGGACAAGUCACGCAUAAAAUAUUAAUCAUGUUUUAUCAUCUAACAACAAUGAAAAUACGAAUUAUAAGAUGGACUGUCAAAGUUGGACACGGAAACCCAGGGUUUGCCUUUUU